rnacentral:rRNA from 1 species
AGUAACACGUAAACAACCUGCCUUCAGGAUGGGGACAACAGACGGAAACGACUGCUAAUACCGAAUACGUUCCUUAGGUCGCAUGACUUAGGGAAGAAAGGGUGGCCUCUACUUGUAAGCUAUCGCCUGAAGAGGGGUUUGCGUCUGAUUAGGUAGUUGGUGAGGUAACGGCCCACCAAGCCGACGAUCAGUAGCCGGUCUGAGAGGAUGAACGGCCACACUGGAACUGAGACACGGUCCAGACUCC